GACAGAGGGUGCAAACGUUGUUCGGAAUUACUGGGCGUAAAGCGUGUGUAGGCGGCCACAUAAGUCGGAUGUGAAAGCCCCGGGCUCAACCCGGGAAGUGCACUCGAUACUGUGUGGCUUGAGUACUGGAGAGGUUGGUGGAAUUCUCGGUGUAGAGGUGAAAUUCGUAGAUAUCGAGAGGAACACCGGUGGCGAAGGCGGCCAACUGGACAGAUACUGACGCUGAGACACGAAAGCGUGGGUAGCAAACAGGAUUAGAUACCCUGGUAGUCCACGCCGUAAACGAUGGGUGCUAGGUGUCACUGGCAUUGACUCCGGUGGUGCCGUAGCUAACGCAUUAAGCACCCCGCCUGGGAAGUACGGCCGCAAGGCUA
rnacentral:rRNA from 1 species